CGUUGCAUCAAACAGGAAACAGUGAAGGUUAGAGUUGUUUCUACUUAUAGCUGGAGGAGCGGCAGCUGCCUGGCUCAUGUCUUUCCCCUUGUUCACAGCGACACCUAGUGAAGCUGACCCAGAACUGACAACGGAGGGAGGAAAUUUCCUAACAAGUAACUUGAGUAACUCUUAGUUACUCAAGAAAAACAUGUACAGUUAGAAAUGAUGCCCGGUCAUGUGACGACGCCCAGGUAUUAGACAAUAUUAGCUCUGAGGAAGAACAUGUCUCAGUGUUUAAUACAUGUGAUUAAAUGGGUAGAGCAUCAGCCUGGGAAGCAGAGGGUCGGAGGUUCCAUCCGACCAGGUGUGUCCUUGAGCAAGACACUUCACGCUAGCUCCACGGGCGCCGUGUGUUGUCAAAUGCAGAGCACAGAUUUCAUAGUAACAUUAUAAAGAAAGGUCAAAUUGUAACAUUGUGACAAAAUUGUAUCUGAUCUCAUCUCAUCUUCUUAAAAACAAAGGCUCUGAAAGUUUUGCUACCUCACGUCGCUGUGUAGCUGAAGGCAAGUCUGAGGCAACGCGCUCAUCUAUUUCCCUUUCACGUCACUUCAUUUGAGCAACAUUACAUCCUGCUGUGGUCAGAGUCGUUGGCCUUGUUACAGGUUGUGAGCGCGCGCUGAGAGACACUGAGGAGGAGAGCUGGGGCGCGAAAGCAUCGACCGAAGGCACCGAGAGCCUCAGUGAAACCAGUAAAGACCGUCUCCUGCCGCCAUCAGGUCACUAUGACGCCAACACGAUUUGCCCUUGUGAUUCUCGGGUUUGCUGUGGCCUGUGCUUUGGAGACCAGCAACUCCACCACUGAUGAGCUGAACAUAAAGAGCAGCCCGGGCAAUGACACAGAGUCGCCAGGGACCAGCACAGCGAGCGAUGAUGACAGCGUCACUACCUCGUUCCUCAACAUCACCGUGGACACCACCAGCAUCCCCAGUACCAACAGUACCAACAGUGCCAGUAACCAAACCAGCACCACCAGCAGCGCCACCAGCACCACCAGCAGCGCCACCAGCAACACCAGCAGCACCACCAGCAACACCAGCACCACCAGCAAGCCGGUACCAACGGCGCCGCCAGAUAAUGCUAUUCCCACCACACCUAAAUCCAGUGGACCAGUCACAACCACUUCUACCACCACCAAAAACAAUAAAGACACUGGUGUCAAACCAAACGUUGAAGAAAACAGUGGCAACCGCGCCGGUGUCAUCGUCCUGAUUGUGAUCAUCAUCAUAGCUGCUGUGUUUGUAGCCGCCUGCUGCUGGACACGGAGGAGAGGAAGGCGCUACUCCGUGGACCCCACUUCUCAAGCGGACGGCGUCAACGUCCCCCUGAGCGCCGUGGAGCCCGCGGAGCCGCCCGCCAGCCCGGUUCCUCACAACGGUCUGCAAACCUUUGAAAGUGCAGAAAGGGCUUCCAGUGAGCCAGAGGUGAAAUGUGAAGUGCAGGAGGAGCAGAAAGCCGAGGCUGAGGAACCGGCCGCGGAGCCCGGCGCCGACCCCGCGCCCCCGGCCCCGGACGGCCCCGGGGACGAGGCUGCCGCCGAGCAAGGCACCGCCGCAGCCGCGGAGCCGGAGACGAGCGAGGACCAGGGCUCCGCCUCCGCCGAGGCGUCGGAGGAACCGGACGCCGGGUCCAACGAGAACAACAGCAACAACGCGGGCCUGGAGGCGCGAGGCUUCAAGGGGACCAACAUGUUCUGGGACGUUCCUCUCCACAGCCCCGUGUGACCUCCCUGCGUGAUGAAGAAGGCGGACGACUCCACAACUCAAGCGACCGAACUGGAACAAUGCAGCUUUCCGCAGGUUUAGUAGAAACAGGAAAUGAAUUUGUAGCUUUUCAAAGUAAAUGUCAGUCGAGCUCAGCUUUUCUACUGAAAACACGCAUGACGUUUGUAUUUUUGGUAUAAUUUAUUUUAACUAUACAAGAUUUGGUUUUUCAAUUAUUGUGAAUUUUCCUCAUCUAAAGCAACUUUUUCGACUAAACUACUGUUAUUUUGCCUGUAAAGUGUAAAUAAAAGCACUGAUUGCGCUUCA
ensembl:lncRNA endochitinase A-like